UUGUGUACGUUUGAAGAUAAGACCAACUUGUACAGCAACUCUAACAACCCCAAAAUAGCCAACAUCUAGGUACCAGAGACCCUAGAGUAUGCACCCAUAAGUUCACACGGGACUGCAGAGCCACCGAAGCACUGAAUUUCUCCCGAAUCUUUGUCAAAAUUACUACAAAGUGACAGCUUCUCACCACAUGCUUAAAAUCAUGUCCUCGAGAAACCUUCAGGAAACAUAAUUUGCGUAUACGUCAAACCCCACAUCACUUAUCCUUUGAAGGGUGAUACCAAGAAGCAGGAAAACAUACGCUGAAGCGAAGGCCAAGAUAAAGCUCCACAGAGAUUCCUAUACAUCAACAUCGACUACACCACCUUCUCAGACACCACAACAAAUACAUGUUGCAUCUGGUUCCACUUUUCGUAAGAGAUAUGCACAAUGAAUGCAGCCUCCAGAAGCACAAUUAGCACCAACCCCUCUCCGCCCCAAAAAAACUGAAAAGGGAAAAAGAGUAGGAGACGUCUUUUAAAAGAUGAAUAAUAUAAAAGAGCAGACACAUACAACCAAGAACUACACGUAGAAAGAGAAAAGUGAAAACCAAUGAAAAGAGGUACAUGU
rnacentral:lncRNA from 1 species